rnacentral:rRNA from 1 species
UACGGAGGGUGCAAGCGUUAUCCGGAUUCACUGGGCUUAAAGGGUGCGUAGGUGGGCAGGUAAGUCAGUGGUGAAAUCCUGUAGCUUAACUACAGAACUGCCAUUGAUACUAUCUGUCUUGAAUACCCUGGAGGUGAGCGGAAUAUGUCAUGUAGCGGUGAAAUGCUUAGAUAUGACAUAGAACACCCAUUGCGAAGGCAGCUCACUACGGGAAUAUUGACGCUGAGGCACGAAAGCGUGGGGAUCAAACAGG